rnacentral:rRNA from 1 species
CCUACGUGAGGCUGCAGUAGGGAAUCUUCGGCAAUGGACGGAAGUCUGACCGAGCAACGCCGCGUGAGUGAAGAAGGUUUUCGGAUCGUAAAGCUCUGUUGUAAGAGAAGAACGAGUGUGAGAGUGGAAAGUUCACACUGUGACGGUAUCUUACCAGAAAGGGACGGCUAACUACGUGCCAGCAGCCGCGGUAAUACGUAGGUCCCGAGCGUUGUCCGGAUUUAUUGGGCGUAAAGCGAGCGCAGGCGGUUAGAUAAGUCUGAAGUUAAAGGCUGUGGCUUAACCAUAGUACGCUUUGGAAACUGUUUAACUUGAGUGCAAGAGGGGAGAGUGGAAUUCCAUGUGUAGCGGUGAAAUGCGUAGAUAUAUGGAGGAACACCGGUGGCGAAAGCGGCUCUCUGGCUUGUAACUGACGCUGAGGCUCGAAAGCGUGGGGAGCAAACAGGAUUAGAUACCCUUGUAGUC